AUUGAACGCUGGCGGCAUGCUUUACACAUGCAAGUCGAACGGUAACAGGCCUUCGGGUGCUGACGAGUGGCGAACGGGUGCGUAAUGCAUCGGAACGUACCCAGAGGUGGGGGAUAACGCAGCGAAAGCUGUGCUAAUACCGCAUGUGAUCUGAGGAUGAAAGCGGGGGACCGAGCAGCAAUGUUUGGCCUCGCGCCUUUGGAGCGGCCGAUGUCGGAUUAGCUAGUUGGUGGGGUAAAGGCCUACCAAGGCGACGAUCCGUAGCUGGUCUGAGAGGACGACCAGCCACACUGGGACUGAGACACGGCCCAGACUCCUACGGGAGGCAGCAGUGGGGAAUGUUGGACAAUGGGCGCAAGCCUGAUCCAGCAAUGCCGCGUGCGGGAAGAAGGCCUUCGGGUUGUAAACCGCUUUUGGCAGGAACGAAACGGUGUCCGCUAAUACCGGGCGCUAAUGACGGUACCUGCAGAAUAAGCACCGGCUAACUACGUG
rnacentral:rRNA from 1 species